rnacentral:rRNA from 1 species
ACAAGCCUGAGAAACGGCUAGUAGGACUAAGGUCUGCAGCAGGCGCGAAACUUACACAAUGCUAGAUUUUGUAAAUUAGCGAUGUAGUGAAGAAAAAUAACGAUGUACUUGUAUUUAAACAUACUAGUACAAUUGGAAUGAGACGACUCUAAACCAGUUAGUCGAGUAACAAAUGGAGGGCAAGUCUGGUGCCAGCAGCCGCGGUAAUUCCAGCUCCAUUAGCAUACAUUAAAGUUGUUGCGGUUAAAAAGCUCGUAGUUGAAGUUUUGGGUGUUUUAUAAAACUAGUCUCGCUAAAGAAACUUCGGUUUUUGAGAUUAGAUUUUAUCAGGCACCGGUUUCGUCACUUAAUCGAGUGCGAAGCGGGGUGAGUACAUCUUUCGAGAUAUAGUCACCAUGUUUACCUUGAGAAAAUUAGAGUGCUCAGAGCAGGCAGUUUUGGUGUAAAAGCCGAUUUAUGCUUGAAUAAUGUUGCAUGGAAUAAUAGAAUACGGCCUCGGUUCUAUUCUGUUGGUCUUAUAGAACAACAAACAGGUGUAUUUGACAAAAAAGGUUAGGUUGUCUUGGGUCCCUAAAAAGUCCCAAGUACCCUGCUGAACACAAAUCACCGGAGGCAAUGGUUAAAAGAAAUAGUCGCGGCGGCAUCAGUACUGCAUCGUGAGAG